rnacentral:rRNA from 1 species
GAUGAACGCUGGCGGCGUGCCUAAUACAUGCAAGUCGAGCGAACGGACGAGAAGCUUGCUUCUCUGAUGUUAGCGGCGCACGUGUGAUUAACACGUUGAUAACCUUCCUAUAUUUCUUGUAUAACUUCGUGAAUCCGGUGCUAAUACCGGUUAUUAUUUUGUUCCGCAUGGUUCUAAAGUUAAAUACGUUCUUGCUGUCACUUAUAUAUGUAUCCGCGCUGCAUUAGCUAGUUGGUAAGGUAACGGCUUACCAAGGCAACGAUGCAUAGCCGACCUGAGAGGGUGAGCGGCCACACUGGAAGUGAGACACGGAACAGACACCGACGGGAGGCAGCAGUAGGGAAAAUUACGAAAUGGGCGAAAGCAGGAAGGAGGAAAGCAGCGUGAGAGAUAAAGGUAUACGGAUCGUAAAAAUAUGAUAAGAGGGAAGAAAAUAUGUGUAAGUAAAUGAGGACAGGAUGACGGUAAAAAAAAAGAAAGCAACGGCUAAAUACGUG